ensembl:rRNA 5S_rRNA 5S ribosomal RNA
GCCAGCAGCCACGUCACCCUGCAGCUCACAGCUGGCAGCCCACUGAAGCUCAGCAGGUGUGAGCCUGGUCAGUACCUGGAUGGGAGACCUCCUGGGAAAAACUAAGGUUGCUGCUGGAA